GCUCUAUUGCAGUUUGCCACGUAAUCUCCCGAGUUCAGACCACAUGCCGCGUUCACUUGCUAGUCAGAACAAGGAAACUUCAGACUUGCUAACUGGUUGUAGUUGCUGUAUACACGUGUCGCGUUUCAGCACUUAUAGCAAGUCGGAAAUGUCCGAGUGUUCCUAGUCUCGACUAGUAAGUGAACGCGGCAAUAGACAUAGGUACAAGGGGCAGUCUGCGGAGUGAGUAGUAGUAGAGCAACAGAAGCCUGGUGAAACACGGGCAAAACAGAAGCGCAUAACGUUACAAAUUCAAGGUGGAUGUUAUUUUCCUUUCUUUUGUGAAAACAAAACAUUGAAACGUGGAUAUUGUUAAUUGAAGGAGAUGAUGCUGCGUACACAUCCAGAUGAUGCUGCACACACAUCCAGAUGAUGCUGCACACACAUCCAGAUGAUGCUGCACACACAUCCAGAUGAUGCUGCACACACAUCCAGAUGAUGCUGCGUACACAUCCAGAUGAUGCUGCGUACACAUCCAGAUGAUGCUGCGCACACAUCCAGAUGAUGCUGCGCACACAUCUAGAUGAUGCUGCGUACUAUUUUGUGCAAUGACUCUGUCGGCGUGAACAAAGUUAGACGUGCGGGCCACAGGAGGAUGAACUUAACGGUGCGUGGUGUUGGCAAGCAAGUGGACCUCCACCCAACUGCACCUCCAGAACUGUAGAGGCAGUCACUGCACCUGCAGGAUUUGUCUGAUAGAUUUGGCUGAGCCUAGCUGAGUGCUGCAGUGUGUC
rnacentral:lncRNA from 1 species